GGAGGGGGCAAGCGUUAUUCGGAUUUACUGGGCGUAAAGCGCACGUAGGUGGCAUGGUAAGUCAAAGGUGAAAGCCCUCGGCUCAACCGAGGAACUGCCUUUGAAACUGUUUUGCUUGAGUCCGGGAGGGGGGAGCGGAAUUCCCAGUGUAGCGGUGAAAUGCGUAGAUACUGGGAGGAACACCGGUGGCGAAGGCGGCUCCCUGGACCGGUACUGACACUGAGGUGCGAAAGCGUGGGUAGCAAACAGGAUUAGAUACCCUGGGUAGUCCACGCCGUAAACGAUGGGCACUAGGUGCAGCGGGUGUCGACCCCCCUGCUGUGCCGUAGUUAACCGCAUUAAGUGCCCCGCCUGGGGAGUACGGUCGCAAGGCUG
rnacentral:rRNA from 1 species